rnacentral:lncRNA from 1 species
UCAACCAUCCUAGUAGUACUCUCGCCCAAUCACGCUUAACUGCAGAGUUCUGAUGGGAUCCGGUGCAUUAGUGCUGGUAUGAUCGCAUCUGUUACUACAUGCAAUGCAAUCGUAUCUGUUACUACAUGCAAUGCAAUCGUAUCUGUUACUACAUGCAAUGCAAUCGUAUCUAUUCUUUUUUGAAGACUUUAUGAUCCAUUUGCCGUGGGUCCCACCAGCUAUGUAGGAAUACCCUAUCUUGUUUAUAAGAGCUUUGAUACAUGCAAAAUAUUCGAAUACAAUGUCUAAACGUAUAAGUUUCGCCCCGUAAUAUAGCGAAGAUCACGAAAAGGCCCGAAAAAGUACAUUAAGGUCAAAAUUUGGAGUAGAAAUAAAAACCAAUAGAAGAAUUCCAAUUUCCUUCCUCAUUCAUUGGAGAGCUCUCUUUGGGCUUUCCGAAAAGGUAUCACAUGCGAAGUUUGGCCUCACAAUCUAAAAGUUAUAUAGUCAUACAUUUUUAACAAAACAAAUAGAGAAAAACCGAAAAAAAGAAUGAUACAACACAAGGACUUUCCGGGAGGUCACCCAUCCUAAUACUAUUCUCGCCCAAGCAAGCUUAACUGCAGAGUAUUGAUGGGAUCUGAUGCAUAAGGGCUGAUAUGAUCGCAUCCGUUACUACAAGCAAUGCAAUCGUAUCUAUUCGUUUUUGAAGACUUUAUGAUCCAUUUGCCGUGGGUCCCACCAGCUAUGUAGGAAUACCCUAUCUUGUUUAUAAGAGCUUUGAUACAUGCAAAAAAUUGGAAAACAAUGUCUGAACAUAUAAUUUUUGUCCCGUAAUAUAGCAAAGAUCACGAAAAGGAUAGAAAAAGUACAUUAAGGUCAAAAUUUUGAGUAGAAAAAAAAUCAAUAGAAGGAUUCCAAUUUCCUUCCUCAUUCAUAUAGCUCUCUUUGGGCUUUCCGAAAAGGUAUCACAUGCAAAGUUUGGCCCCGCGGUCUAAAAGUUAUAGAGGUAUACAUUUUUACCAAAAAAAAGAGGGAUUCAACACGAGGACUUUUUUNNNNNNNNNNNNNNNNNNNNNNNNNNNNNNNNNNNNNNNNNNNNNNNNNNUGCUGGUAUGAUCGCAUCAGUUACUACAUGCAAUGCAAUCAUAUAUAUUCUUUUUUGAAGACUUUAUGAUCCAUUUGCCGUAGGUCCCACCAGCUAUGUAGGAAUACCCUAUCUUGUUUAUAAGAGCUUUGAUACAUGCAAAAUAUUCGAAAACAAUGUCCGAACAUAUAAUUUUUGUCCCGUAAUAUAGCAAAGAUCACGAAAAGGCCAGAAAAAAUACAUUUCGGUCAAAAUUUGGAGUAGAAAAAAAGCCCUUCCUCAUUCAUUGGACAGCUCUCUUUGGGCUUUCCGAAAAGGUAUCACAUGCCAAGUUUGGCCUCACGGUCUAAACCUUAUAGACUCAUACAUUUUUCACAAAAAAAAGAAGAGAAAAACCAAAAAAAAGAGUGAUUAAACACGAGGAUUUUCCUGGAGGUCACCCAUCCUAGUACUACUCUCGCCCAAGCACGCUUAACUGCGAAGGUCUGAUGGGAUAUGGUGCAUUAGUGCUGGUAUGAUCGCAUCUGUUACUACAUGCAAUGCAAUCGUAUCUAUUCUUUUUUGAAGAUUUGAUGAUUCAUUUACCGUGGGUCCCACCAGCUAUGUAGGAAUAACCUAUCUUAUUUAUAAAAGCUUUGAUACAUGCAAAAUAUUCGAAAACAAUGUCCGAACAUAUAAUGUUCGCCCCAAAAUAUAGCAAAGACCACAAAAAUGCCAUAAAAAGUACAUUAAGGUCAAAAUUUGGAGUAGGAAAAAAAUCAAUAGGAGAAUUCCAUUUUCCUUCCCUCAUUCAUCAGAGAGCUCUCUUUGGGCAUUCCAAAAAGGUAUCACAUGCCAAGUUUGGCCUCACGGUCUAAAAGUUAUAGAGUAUUACAUUUUUAACAAAAAAAAAAGGGAAAAACCGAAAAAGAGGGAUGCAACACGAAGACUUUUCUGGAGGUCACCCAUUCUAGUACUACUCUCCCCCAAGCACGCUUAACUGUGGUGUUCUAAUAGGAUCAAGUGCAUUAGUGCUGGUAUGAUCGCAUCAGUUACUACAUGCAAUGCAAUCAUAUAUAUUCUUUUUUGAAGACUUUAUGAUCCAUUUGCCGUAGGUCCCACCAGCUAUGUAGGAAUACCCUAUCUUGUUUAUAAGAGCUUUGAUACAUGCAAAAUAUUCGAAAACAAUGUCCGAACAUAUAAUUUUUGUCCCGUAAUAUAGCAAAGAUCACGAAAAGGCCAGAAAAAAUACAUUUCGGUCAAAAUUUGGAGUAGAAAAAAAGCCCUUCCUCAUUCAUUGGACAGCUCUCUUUGGGCUUUCCGAAAAGGUAUCAUAUGCCAAGUUUGGCCUCACGGUCUAAACCUUAUAGACUCAUACAUUUUUCACAAAAAAAAGAAGAGAAAAACCAAAAAAAAGAGUGAUUAAACACGAGGACUUUCCUGGAGGUCAUCCAUCCUAGUACUACUCUCGCCCAAGCACGCUUAAUUGCGAAGUUCUGAUGGGAUCUGGUGCAUUAGUGCUGGUAUGAUCGCAUAUGUUACUACAUGCAAUGCAAUCGUAUCUAUUCUUUUUUGAAGAUUUUAUGAUUCAUUUACCGUGGGUACCACCAGCUAUGUAGGAAUAACCUAUCUUAUUUAUAAGAGCUUUGAUACAUGCAAAAUAUUCGAAAACAAUGUCCGAACAUAUAAUUUUUGUCCCGUAAUAUAGCAAAGAUCACGAAAAGGCCAGAAAAAAUACAUUUCGGUCAAAAUUUGGAGUAGAAAAAAACCCUUCCUCAUUCAUUGGACAGCUCUGUUUGAGCUUUCCGAAAAGGUAUCACAUGCCAAGUUUGGCCUCACGGUCUAAAAGUUAUAGAGUCAUACAUUUUUCACAAAAAAAAGAAGAGAAAAACCAAAAAAAAGAGUGAUGAAACACGAGGACUUUCCUGGAGGUCACCCAUCCUAGUACUACUCUCGCCCAAGCACGCGUAACUGCGAAGUUCUGAUGGGAUCUGGUGCAUUAGUGCUGGUAUGAUCGCAUCUGUUACUACAUGCAAUGCAAUCGUAUCUAUUCUUUUUUGAAGAUUUUAUGAUUCAUUUACCGUGGGUCCCACCAGCUAUGUAGGAAUAACCUAUCUUAUUUAUAAGAGCUUUGAUACAUGCAAAAUAUUGGAAAACAAUGUCCGAACAUAUAAUGUUCGCCCCAAAAUAUAGCAAAGACAACAAAAAUCCCAUAAAAAGUACAUUAAGGUCAAAAUUUGGAGUAGGAAAAAAAUCAAUAAGAGAAUUCCAUUUUCCUUCCCUCAUUCAUCGGAGAGGUCUCUUUGGGCAUUCCAAAAAGGUAUCACAUGCCAAGUUUGGCCUCACGGUCUAAAAGUUAUAGAGUAAUACAUUUUUAACAAAAAAAAAAGAGAAAAACCGAAAAAAAGAGGGAUGCAACACGAAGACUUUUCUGGAGGUCACCCAUCCUAGUACUACUCUCCCAAAGCACGCUUAACUGUGGUGUUCUGAUAGGAUCAAGUGCAUUAGUGCGGGUAUGAUCGCAUCAGUUACUACAUGCAAUGCAAUCAUAUAUAUUCUUUUUUGAAGACUUUAUGAUCCAUUUGCCGUAGGUCCCACCAGCUAUGUAGGAAUACCCUAUCUUGUUUAUAAGAGCUUUGAUACAUGCAAAAUAUUCGAAAACAAUGUCCGAACAUAUAAUUUUUGUCCCGUAAUAUAGCAAAGAUCACGAAAAGGCCAGGAAAAAUACAUUUCGGUCAAAAUUUGGAGUAGAAAAAAAACCCUUCCUCAUUCAUUGGACAGCUCUCUUUGGGCUUUCCGAAAAGGUAUCACAUGCCAAGUUUGGCCUCACGGUCUAAAAGUUAUAGAUUCAUACAUUUUUCACAAAAAAAAGAAGAGAAAAACCAAAAAAAAGAGGGAUGAAACACGAGGACUUUCCCAGAGGUCACCCAUCCUAGUACUACUCUCGCCCAAGCACGCUUAACUGCGAAGUUCUGAUGGGAUCUGGUGCAUUAGUGCUGGUAUGAUCGCAUCUGUUACUACAUGCAAUGCAAUCGUAUCUAUUCUUUUUUGAAGAUUUUAUGAUUCAUUUACCGUGGGUCCCACCAGCUAUGUAGGAAAACCUAUCUUAUUUAUAAGAUCUUUGAUACAUGCAAAAUAUUGGAAAACAAUGUCCGAACAUAUAAUGUUCGCCCCAAAAUAUAGCGAAGACCACAAAAAUGCCAUAAAAAGUACAUUAAGGUCAAAAUUUGGAGUAGGAAAAAAAUCAAUAGGAGAAUUCCAUUUUCCUUCCCUCAUUCAUCGGAGAGCUCUCUUUGGGCAUUCCAAAAAGGUAUCACAUGCCAAGUUUGGCCUCACGGUCUAAAAGUUAUAGAAUAUUACAUUUUUAACAAAAAAAAAGAGAAAAACCAAAAAAAAGAGGGAUGCAACACGAGGACUUUUCUGGAGGUCACCCAUCCUACUACUACUCUCGCCCAAGCACACUUAACUGCGGUGUUCUGAUAGGAUCAAGUGCAUUAGUGCUGGUAUGAUCGCAUCAGUUACUACAUGCAAUGCAAUCAUAUAUAUUCUUUUUUGAAGACUUUAUGAUCCAUUUGCCGUAGGUCCCACCAGCUAUGUAGGAAUACCCUAUCUUGUUUAUAAGAGCUUUGAUACAUGCAAAAUAUUCGAAAACAAUGUCCGAACAUAUAAUUUUUGUCCCGUAAUAUAGCAAAGAUCACGAAAAGGCCAGAAAAAAUACAUUUUGGUCAAAAUUUGGAGUAGAAAAAAAGCCCUUCCUCAUUCAUUGGACAGCUCUCUUUGGGCUUUCCGAAAAGGUAUCACAUGCCAAGUUUGGCCUCACGGUCUAAACCUUAUAGACUCAUACAUUUUUCACAAAAAAAAGAAGAGAAAAACCAAAAAAAAGAGUGAUUAAACACGAGGAUUUUCCUGGAGGUCACCCAUCCUAGUACUACUCUCGCCCAAGCACGCUUAACUGCGAAGGUCUGAUGGGAUAUGGUGCAUUAGUGCUGGUAUGAUCGCAUCUGUUACUACAUGCAAUGCAAUCGUAUCUAUUCUUUUUUGAAGAUUUGAUGAUUCAUUUACCGUGGGUCCCACCAGCUAUGUAGGAAUAACCUAUCUUAUUUAUAAAAGCUUUGAUACAUGCAAAAUAUUCGAAAACAAUGUCCGAACAUAUAAUGUUCGCCCCAAAAUAUAGCAAAGAUCACAAAAAUGCCAUAAAAAGUACAUUAAGGUCAAAAUUUGGAGUAGGAAAAAAAUCAAUAGGAGAAUUCCAUUUUCCUUCCCUCAUUCAUCGGAGAGCUCUCUUUGGGCAUUCCAAAAAGGUAUCACAUGCCAAGUUUGGCCUCACGGUCUAAAAGUUAUAGAGUAUUACAUUUUUAACAAAAAAAAAAGGGAAAAACCGAAAAAGAGGGAUGCAACACGAAGACUUUUCUGGAGGUCACCCAUCCUAGUACUACUCUCCCCCAAGCACGCUUAACUGUGGUGUUCUAAUAGGAUCAUGUGCAUUAGUGCUGGUAUGAUCGCAUCAGUUACUACAUGCAAUGCAAUCAUAUAUAUUCUUUUUUGAAGACUUUAUGAUCCAUUUGCCGUAGGUCCCACCAGCUAUGUAGGAAUACCCUAUCUUGUUUAUAAGAGCUUUGAUACAUGCAAAAUAUUCGAAAACAAUGUCCGAACAUAUAAUUUUUGUCCCGUAAUAUAGCAAAGAUCACGAAAAGGCCAGAAAAAAUACAUUUCGGUCAAAAUUUGGAGUAGAAAAAAAGCCCUUCCUCAUUCAUUGGACAGCUCUCUUUGGGCUUUCCGAAAAGGUAUCAUAUGCCAAGUUUGGCCUCACGGUCUAAACCUUAUAGACUCAUACAUUUUUCACAAAAAAAAGAAGAGAAAAACCAAAAAAAAGAGUGAUUAAACACGAGGACUUUCUUGGAGGUCAUCCAUCCUAGUACUACUCUCGCCCAAGCACGCUUAACUGCGAAGUUCUGAUGGGAUCUGGUGCAUUAGUGCUGGUAUGAUCGCAUCUGUUACUACAUGCAAUGCAAUCGUAUCUAUUCUUUUUUGAAGAUUUUAUGAUUCAUUUACCGUGGGUACCACCAGCUAUGUAGGAAUAACCUAUCUUAUUUAUAAGAGCUUUGAUACAUGCAAAAUAUUCGAAAACAAUGUCCGAACAUAUAAUUUUUGUCCCGUAAUAUAGCAAAGAUCACGAAAAGGCCAGAAAAAAUACAUUUUGGUCAAAAUUUGGAGUAGAAAAAAACCCUUCCUCAUUCAUUGGACAGCUCUGUUUGAGCUUUCCGAAAAGGUAUCACAUGCCAAGUUUGGCCUCACGGUCUAAAAGUUAUAGAGUCAUACAUUUUUCACAAAAAAAAAGAAGAGAAAAACCAAAAAAAAGAGUGAUGAAACACGAGGACUUUCCUGGAGGUCACCCAUCCUAGUACUACUCUCGCCCAAGCACGCGUAACUACGAAGUUCUGAUGGGAUCUGGUGCAUUAGUGCUGGUAUGAUCGCAUCUGUUACUACAUGCAAUGCAAUCGUAUCUAUUCUUUUUUGAAGAUUUUAUGAUUCAUUUACCGUGGGUCCCACCAGCUAUGUAGGAAUAACCUAUCUUAUUUAUAAGAGCUUUGAUACAUGCAAAAUAUUGGAAAACAAUGUCCGAACAUAUAAUGUUCGCCCCAAAAUAUAGCAAAGACAACAAAAAUGCCAUAAAAAGUACAUUAAGGUCAAAAUUUGGAGUAGGAAAAAAAUCAAUAAGAGAAUUCCAUUUUCCUUCCCUCAUUCAUCGGAGAGCUCUCUUUGGGCAUUCCAAAAAGGUAUCACAUGCCAAGUUUGGCCUCACGGUCUAAAAGUUAUAGAGUAGUACAUUUUUAACAAAAAAAAAAGAGAGAAACCGAAAAAAAGAGGGAUGCAACACGAAGACUUUUCUGGAGGUCACCCAUCCUAGUACUACUCUCCCAAAGCACGCUUAACUGUGGUGUUCUGAUAGGAUCAAGUGCAUUAGUGCGGGUAUGAUCGCAUCAGUUACUACAUGCAAUGCAAUCAUAUAUAUUCUUUUUUGAAGACUUUAUGAUCCAUUUGCCGUAGGUCCCACCAGCUAUGUAGGAAUACCCUAUCUUGUUUAUAAGAGCUUUGAUACAUGCAAAAUAUUCGAAAACAAUGUCCGAACAUAUAAUUUUUGUCCCGUAAUAUAGCAAAGAUCACGAAAAGGCCAGGAAAAAUACAUUUCGGUCAAAAUUUGGAGUAGAAAAAAAACCCUUCCUCAUUCAUUGGACAGCUCUCUUUGGGCUUUCCGAAAAGGUAUCACAUGCCAAGUUUGGCCUCACGGUCUAAAAGUUAUAGAUUCAUACAUUUUUCACAAAAAAAAGAAGAGAAAAACCAAAAAAAAGAGGGAUGAAACACGAGGACUUUCCCAGAGGUCACCCAUCCUAGUACUACUCUCGCCCAAGCACGCUUAACUGCGAAGUUCUGAUGGGAUCUGGUGCAUUAGUGCUGGUAUGAUCGCAUCUGUUACUACAUGCAAUGCAAUCGUAUCUAUUCUUUUUUGAAGAUUUUAUGAUUCAUUUACCGUGGGUCCCACCAGCUAUGUAGGAAAACCUAUCUUAUUUAUAAGAUCUUUGAUACAUGCAAAAUAUUGGAAAACAAUGUCCGAACAUAUAAUGUUCGCCCCAAAAUAUAGCGAAGACCACAAAAAUGCCAUAAAAAGUACAUUAAGGUCAAAAUUUGGAGUAGGAAAAAAAUCAAUAGGAGAAUUCCAUUUUCCUUCCCUCAUUCAUCGGAGAGCUCUCUUUGGGCAUUCCAAAAAGGUAUCACAUGCCAAGUUUGGCCUCACGGUCUAAAAGUUAUAGAAUAUUACAUUUUUAACAAAAAAAAAGAGAAAAACCGAAAAAAAGAGGGAUGCAACACGAAGACUUUUCUGGAGGUCACCCAUCCUACUACUACUCUCGCCCAAGCACACUUAACUGCGGUGUUCUGAUAGGAUCAAGUGCAUUAGUGCUGGUAUGAUCGCAUCAGUUACUACAUGCAAUACAAUCAUAUAUAUUCUUUUUUGAAGACUUUAUGAUCCAUUUGCCGUAGGUCCCACCAGCUAUGUAGGAAUACCUUAUCUUGUUUAUAAGAGCUUUGAUACAUGCAAAAUAUUCGAAAACAAUGUCCGAACAUAUAAUUUUUGUCCCGUAAUAUAGCAAAGAUCACGAAAAGGCCAGAAAAAAUACAUUUCGGUCAAAAUUUGGAGUAGAAAAAAAACCCUUCCUCAUUCAUUGGACAGCUCUCUUUGGGCUUUCCGAAAAGGUAUCACAUGCCAAGUUUGGCUUCACGGUCUAAACCUUAUAGACUCAUACAUUUUUCACAAAAAAAAGAAGAGAAAAACAAAAAAAAAGAGUGAUUAAACACGAGGACUUUCCUGGAGGUCACCCAUCCUAGUACUACUCUCGCCCAAGCACUCUUAACUGCGAAGUUCUGAUGGGAUCUGGUGCAUUAGUGCUGGUAUGAACGCAUCUGUUACUACAUGCAAUGCAAUCGUAUGUAUUCUUUUUUGAAGAUUUUAUGAUUCAUUUACCGUGGGUCCCACCAGCUAUGUAGGAAUAACCUAUCUUAUUUAUAAAAGCUUUGAUACAUGCAAAAUAUUCGAAAACAAUGUCCGAACAUAUAAUGUUCGCCCCAAAAUAUAGCAAAGACCACAAAAAUGCCAUAAAAAGUACAUUAAGGUCAAAAUUUGGAGUAGGAAAAAAAUCAAUAGGAGAAUUCCAUUUUCCUUCCCUCAUUCAUCGGAGAGCUCUCUUUGGGCAUUCCAAAAAGGUAUCACAUGCCAAGUUUGGCCUCACGGUCUAAAAGUUAUAGAGUAUUACAUUUUUAACAAAAAAAAAAAGAGAAAAACCGAAAAAAAGAGGGAUGCAACACGAAGACUUUUCUGGAGGUCACCCAUCCUAGUACUACUCUCCCCCAAGCACGCUUAACUGUGGUGUUCUGAUAGGAUCAAGUGCAUUAGUGCUGGUAUGAUCGCAUCAGUUACUACAUGCAAUGCAAUCAUAUAUAUUCUUUUUUGAAGACUUUAUGAUCCAUUUGCCGUAGGUCCCACCAGCUAUGUAGGAAUACCCUAUCUUGUUUAUAAGAGCUUUGAUACAUGCAAAAUAUUCGAAAACAAUGUCCGAACAUAUAAUUUUUGUCCCGUAAUAUAGCAAAGAUCACGAAAAGGUCAGAAAAAAUAUAUUUCGGUCAAAAUUUGGAGUAGAAAAAAAGCCCUUCCUCAUUCAUUGGACAGCUCUCUUUGGGCUUUCCGAAAAGGUAUCACAUGCCAAGUUUGGCCUCACGGUCUAAACCUUAUAGACUCAUACAUUUUUCAUAAAAAAAAGAAGAGAAAAACAAAAAAAAAAAGAGUGAUUAAACACGAGGACUUUCCUGGAGGUCACCCAUCCUAGUACUACUCUCGCCCAAGCACGCUUAACUACGAAGUUCCGAUGGGAUCUGAUGCAUUAGUGCUGGUAUGAUCGCAUCUGUUACUACAUGCAAUGCAAUCGUAUCUAUUCUUUUUUGAAGAUUUUAUGAUUCAUUUACUGUGGGUCCCACCAGCUAUGUAGGAAUAACCUAUCUUAUUUAUAAAAGCUUUGAUACAUGCAAAAUAUUGGAAAACAAUGUCCGAACAUAUAAUGUUCGCCCCAAAAUAUAGCAAAGACCACAAAAAUGCCAUAAAAAGUACAUUAAGGUCAAAAUUUGGAGUAGGAAAAAAAUCAAUAGGAGAAUUCCAUUUUCCUUCCCUCAUUCAUCGGAGAGCUCUCUUUGGGCAUUCCAAAAAGGUAUCACAUGCCAAGUUUGGCCUCACGGUCUAAAAGUUAUAGAGUAAUACAUUUUUAACAAAAAAAAAAAAGAAAAAAACCGAAAACAAAGAGGGAUGCAACACGAAGACUUUCCUGGAGGUCACCCAUCCUAGUACUACUCUCACCCAAGCACACNUUAACUGUGGUGUUCUGAUAGGAUCAAGUGCAUUAGUGCUGGUAUGAUCGCAUCAGUUACUACAUGCAAUGCAAUCNNNNNNNNNNNNNNNNNNNNNNNNNNNNNNNNNNNNNNNNNNNNNNNNNNCUCCUCAGUCAUCUUUGAGCUCUCUUUGGGCUUUCCGAAAAGGUAUCACAUGCCCAGUUUGGCCUCACGGUCUAAAAGUUAUAAAGUCAUACAUUUUUAACAAAAAAAAAAGAGAAAAACCGAAAAAAAGAGGGAUGCAAUACGAGGACUUUCCACGAGGUCACCCAUCCUAGUACAACUCUCGCCAAAGCAUGCUUAACUGCGGAGUUUAGAUGGGAUCUGGUGCAUUAGUGCUGGUAUGAUCGCAUCUGUUACUACAUGCAAUGCAAUCGUAUCUAUUCUUAUUUAAAGACUUUAUCAUCCAUUUGCCAUGGGUCCCACCUGUAGGAAUACCCAAUCUUGUUUAUAAGAGCUUUGAUACAUGCAAAAUAUUCGAAAACAACGUCCGAACAUAUAAUUUUCGCCCCGUAAUAUAGCAAAGAUCACGAAAAGGCCCGAAAAAGUACAUUAAGGUCAAAAUUUGGAAUAGAAAAAAAAACCAAAAGAAGUAUUCCAUUGUCCUUUGUCAUUCAUCGAAGAGCUCUCUUUGGGCUUUCCGAAAAGGUAUCGCAAGCCAAGUUUGGCCUCACGGUUUAAAAGUUAUAAAGUCAUACAUUUUUAACAAAAAAAAAAAGAGAAAAAACCGAAAAAAAGAGGGAUGCAACACGAGGACUUUUCUGGAGGUCACCCAUCCUAGUACUACUCUCGCCCGAUCACCCUUAACUGCGUAGUUUUGAUGGGAUUCGAUGCAUUAGUGCUGGUAUGAUCGCAUCUGUUACUACAUGCAAUGUAAUCGUAUCUAUUCUUUUUUAAAGACUUUAUGAUCCAUUUGCCGUGGGUCCCACCAGCUAUGUAGGAAUACCCUAUCUUCUUUAUAAGAGCUUUGAUAUAUGCAAAAUAGUGGAAAACCAUGUCCGAACAUAUAAUUUUUCCCCUGUAAUAUAGCAAAGAUCAAGAAAAAGCCAAAAAAAGUAUAUUUAGGUCAAAAUUUGGAGUAGAAAAAAAAACAAUAGAAGAAUUCCAUUUUCCUUCCUCAGUCAUCGGAGAGCUCUCUUUCGGCUUUCCGAAAAGGUAUCAAAUGCCAAGUUUGGCCUCACGGUCUAAAAGUUAUAGAGUCAUACAUUUUUAACAAUACAAAGUAGAGAAAACCGGAAAAAAGAGGGAUGCAACAUGAGGACUUUCCGGGAGGUAAUCCAUCCUAGUACAACUCUUGCCCAAGCACCCUUAACUGCGGAGUUCUGAUGGAAUCCGGUGCAUUAGUGCUGGUAUGAUCGCAUCUGUUACUACAUGCAAUGUAAUCGUAUCUAUUUUUUUUUAAAGACUUUAUGAUCCAUUUGCCGUGGGUCCCACCAGCUAUGUAGGAAUACCCUAUCUUCUUUAUAAGAGCUUUGAUACAUGCAAAAUAUAUGAAAAAACGUUCGAACAUAUAAUUUUUCCCCCCGUAAUAUAGCAAAGAUCACGAAAAGGCCCGAAAAAGUACAUUUAGUUCAAAAUUUGGAGUAGAAAAACCCAAUAGAAGAAUUCCAUUUUCCUUCGUCAUUCAUCGGAGAGCUCUCUUUGGGCUUUCCGAAAAGGUAUCACAUGCCAAGUUUGGCCUCACGGUCUAAAAGUUAUAGAGUCAUACAUUUUUAACAAAACAAAAUUGAGAAAAACCGAAAAAAGAGGGAUGCAACACGAGGACUCUCCAGAAGGUAACCCAUCUUAGUACUACUUUCGCCCAAGCACCCUUAACUGCGGAGUUCUGAUAGGACCCGGUGCAUUAGUGCUGGUAUGAUCGCAUGUGUUACUACAUGCAAUGUAAUCGUAUAUAUUCAUUUUUAAAGACUUUAUGAUCCAUUUGCCGUGGGUCCUACCAGCUAUGUAGAAAUACCCUAUCUUCUUUAUAAGAGCUUUCAUUCACGCAAAAUAAUGGAAAACAAUGUCCGAAGAUAUAAUUCCCCCCCCCCCCCCCCCGUAAUAUAGCAAAGAUCACGAAAAGGCCCGAAAAAGUACAUUAAGUUCAAAAUUUGGAGUAGAAAAAAAAACAAUAGAAGAAUUCCAUUUUCCUUCCUCAGUCAUCGGAGAGCUCUCUUUGGGCUUUCCGAAAAGGUAUCACAUGCCAAGUUUGGCCUCACGGUCUAAAGGUUAUAGAGUCAUACAUUUUUAACAAAAAAAAAUAGAAAAACAGAAAAAAGAGGGAUGCAAUACGAGGACUUUCCAGGAGGUCACCCAUCCUAGUACAACUCUCGCCGAAGCACGCUUAACUACGGUGUUCAGAUGGAAUCUGGUGCAUUAGUGCUGGUAUGAUGUCAUUUGUUACUACAUGCAAUGCAAUCAUAUCUAUUCUUAUUUAAAGACUUUAUGAUCCAUUUGCCGUGGGUCCCACCUGUAGGAAUACCCUAUCUUGUUUAUAAAAGAUUUGAUACAUGCAAAAUACUCGAAAACAAUGUCCGAACAUAUAAUUUUCACCCCGUAAUAUAGCAAAGAUCACGAAAAGGCCCGAAAAAGUACAUUAAAGUCAAAAUUUGGAGUAGAAAAAAACCCAAUAGAAGUAUUCCAUUCUCCUUCGUCAUUCAUCGGAGAGCUCUCUUUAGGCUUUCCGAAAAGAUAUCACAUGCCAAGUUUGGCCUCACGGUUUAAAAGUUAUAGAGUCAUAGAUUUUUAACAAAACAAAAAGAGAAAAACCGAAAAAAAAUUGGGAUGCAACACGAGGACUUUCCUGGAGGUCACCCAUCCUAGUACUACUCUUGCCCAAGCACCCUUAACUGCGUAGUUCUGAUGGGAUCCGAUGCUUUAGGGCUGGUAUGAUCGCAUCUGUUACUACAUGCAAUGUAAUCGUAUCUAUUCUUUUUUAAAGACUUUAUGAUCCAUUUGCCGUGGGUCCCACCAGCUAUGUAGGAAUACCCUAUCUUCUUUAUAAGAGCUUUGAUAAAUGCAAAAUAUUGGAAAGCAAUGUCCGAACAUAUAAUUUCGCCCCCGUAAUAUAGCAAAGAUCACGAAAAAGCCCAAAAAAGUUCAUUUAGGUCAAAAUUUGAGCAGAAGAAAAAGAAAUAGAAGAAUUCCAUUUUCCUUCCUCAUUUAUUGGAGAGCUCUCUUUGGGCUUUCCGAAAAGGUAUCACAUGCCAAGUUUGGCCUCACGGUCUAAAAGUUAUAGAGUCAUACAGUUUUAACAAAAUGAAAUAGAGAAAAACCGAAAAAAAGAGGGAUGUAACACGAGGACUUUCCGGGAGGUAAUCUAUCCUACUACUACUCUCGGCCAAGCACCCUUAACUGCGGAGUUCUAAUGGGAUCCGGUGCAUUAGUGCUAGUAUGAUCGCAUGUGUUACUACAUGCAAUGUAAUCGUAUCUAUUCUUUUUUAAAGACUUUAUGAUCCAUUUGCCGUGGGUCCCACCAGCUAUGUAGGAAUACCCUAUCUUCUUUAUAAGAGCUUUGAUACAUGCAAAAUAUAUGAAAAAAACGUCCGAACAUAUAAUUUUCCCCCCGUAAUAUAGCAAAGAUCAUGAAAAGGCCCAAAAAAGUACAUUAAUGUCAAAAUUUGGCGUAGAAAAAAAACCAAUAGACAUAUUCCAUUGUCCUUCAUCAUUCAUUGAAGAGCUCUCUUUGGGCUUUCCGAAAAGGUAUCACAUGCCAAGUUUGGCCUCACGGUCUAAAAGUUAUAGAGUCAUACAUUUUUAACAAUACAAAAUAGAGAAAAACCGAAAAAAAGAGGGAUGCAACACGAGGACUUUCCGGGAGGUAAUCCAUCCUAGUACUACUCUCGCCCAAGCACCCUUAACUGCGGAGUUCUGAUGGGACCCGGUGCAUUAGUGCUGGUAUGAUCGCAUCUGUUACUAUAUGCAAUGUAAUCGUAUCUAUUCUUUUUUAAAGACUUUAUGAUCCAUUUGCCGUGGGUCCCACCAGCUAUGUAGGAAUACCCUAUCUUCUUUAUAAGAGCUUUGAUAUAUGCAAAAUAUUGGAACACCAUGUCCGAACAUAUAAUUUUUCCCGUGUAAUAUAGCAAAGAUCAAGAAAAAGACAAAAGAGUACAUUUAGGUCAAAAUUUGAGUAGAAAAAAACAAAUAGAAGAAUUCCAUUUUCCUUCCUCAUUCAGCUGAGAGCUCUCUUUGGGCUUUCCGAAAAGGUAUCAUAUGCCAAGUUUGGCCUCACAGUGUAAAAGUUAUAGAGUCUAACAUUUUUAACAAAACAAAAUAGAGAAAAACCAAAAAAAGAGGGAUGCAACACGAGGACUUUCUGGGAGGUCACCCAUCCUAGUACUACUCUCGCCCAAGCACCCUUAACUGCGGAGUUCUGAUGGGAUCCGGUGCAUUAGUGCAGGUAUGAUCG